CGCCCCGACUCUCUGCUCUCACAGAAAGGAGAAGGUUGGCGUUAGAAACCAGAAGUACGCAGCAGAAGACUGAACUUCUAAAGAGGGAUACAUCUAAUAAGUUUUAAUAAGAAGAAAACAAGGUAAUGGCCGUGUCCAUCUCCAGGGAUUUAACUGUUCGGUUGGGGGAAGAUGUGAACACUGUGAAGCUGACUGACCGACAGCAGGAACUGAGAGCUGCCAUCCAGAGAGGAGAACCGAAAUGUCUGGGGGUGAGUCAGUUGAUGCUGGGUUUGAUGGUCAUGUCCUACUCCAUUCCUCUUCACUUCACUGAAUUCACUGAGGUGAUCACUCUCGGGGUUCCUUGGUGGAGCGGCCUGAUGUUCCUCACAGCAGGAGUGGUCGCCAUCGUCUUGGACAAAAACUGCACCAUGAAGUUUCUGCAGCUGUGUUUGAUGGUGACUGUGGUGUCCGUUGUGCUGUCAGUGGUGGCUGUGAUCAUCUACUCCGUGGACAUGCAGAAGCAUCCCGAGGUGCCUUGUGACAAGACAGGCGAAGGGAGCUGUAGCGACGAACACUACGUCACGAAACUGAGCAGAGGGUUGAAGUCGUCUCUCCUUUUCUUCACUCUGGCCCAGACAGUCAUCUCCUCCAUCCUCAGCUUCCUUCUCUUUCGACAGAGACGCACCUUUGGACAGUAUGCUUCUCUCACUCCAGAUGGUCCUUCAACCCCCACAGCUCUGAUACCCCCCGACUUCAACUGACCAAUCAUGGGAGCAGUGGUCGCCGUGGAGACGGAUCACCUCUCGUUAGGAUGAUGAGCUGUGUUCUGAAAUGAAUCCACGUCUUGAAUAGUUUCUUUUUACUUGUAUCGAUGAUAUUCACCGUCCUGUCUGACAGGUCGACACCAGAGUGUUUCAUCAAAGCCUGAAUAUUAGAUUAUUCAGUCAAAUGGUUCAAACCUCGAUCUAAAGAACGACUCACCUGUAAUAAAAUAUAACAGCACAAACAGAACCUCCUGAAGAGUUUGACACAAAUGUACUGAAUGUGACACGAUAAACGUGGUUUAUUCUCUGGGUGGUCAAGGCUUUAAAGCAGGGAUGUCCAAUUAUUCUUUGGUUCCGCAUUCAGCCCAGUCUGAUUUCCAGUGGACUGGACCAGUAAAACCAGUAAAACCACAGCACAAAAACCUAUAAAUAGCCACAACUCCAGAUUAUAAUCACAACUAUCUGGAUCUGAACCAUAAAAGAUUUUACUUUAUGAUCAAAACAACAAAAACAAGAAAAAAUAUUCCAAAAACGAGACACAAAAUAACAAAAAAGAGACACGAAACAAUUGAAACAUGAGACAAAUGACAAAAGUCAGACAAUAAUAGACAAAAUAAUACAAAAAUAACACAAAAUACAACAAAAAUGAGAAACAAAACGACAAAAAAUUUGAGAAAUGACACAAAACAAAGCAAAAAAUUAGACAACAAAGUUACAAAGCAACAAAAAAUGGACAAAUGACAAAAACAAGACACAAAACAACAAAUUAUGCAAAACACAAAAUGACAAAAGACAAAAACCACAAGCAAGACAGAAAGGAAACACAAAACGACAAAAAGAGAAACAGAACAGCAAAAAUAUGAGACGAAAGUGAGACAAAAAAAGACAAAAAACAACAAAAACAGACAAAACGGUACAAAAAUGAGACACAAAAAACAAAAGAACAAAGAACAAUCUAGUCUUUGUCAUGGUCUAGAAAUGAUUUUAAAUUUAUAGUUUUACUAAUUUACAAUCUGCAGUUAAUGUCUUCUCUGUAAUUUUUACACUUUGAGGACCGGAUUGGACCCUCUGGAGGACCACUUUUGGACCACGGGCCUCAUGGUGGACACCCCUGGUCUCAAAUGUCAGGAAGAGUCUGUUAUAGACCCCAAUGAACAGACAUAUUUUACGAUAAAUCUGAAUCAUCUCCACAUUAAACAUGCAGUAGAGAUCUGGUGGUCGUAGCUGCUGUGUGACGGCUGCUUUGAGGUCAGUAGGCCUACAUUCUGACAAAACCUACGCAGUUCUUCAGCAGUCCCAGCGGUUCAAAUGUAACUCGACACCUUGGCCAAAAAGCAGGAAGAAAAGAUUUGUGCAUCUAUCAGGAAAUGAUGAGAAAGAAGCAGUUGUUGAAAGAUUUUGUAAUCAUGAGAAAGGGCCAGGCAAGCAAUAAAAUAUAGUUGCAUAAGCAAGAAAGUGCAGUUUCUAAGGAACACGCUUUAGUUUCAGAGGAAGACGGACUGUCAGUUCUGCACAAAACCGUAGACCAGGGGUGUUCACCAUGAGGCCCGUGGUCCAAAAGUGGUCCUCCAGAGGGUCCACCAUGAGGCCCGUGGUCCAAAAGUGGUCCUCCAGAGGGUCCAACAUGAGGCCCGUGGUCCAAAAGUGGUCCUCCAGAGGGUCCAAUCCGGCCCUCAAAGUGUAAAAAUUCCAGAGAAGACAUUAACUGCAGAUUGUAAAUUAGUAAAACUAUAAAUUUAAAAUCAUUUCUAGACCAUGACAAGUUGUUUGGAUCAGAAAGUAAAAUACUGGAUUGUUCUUUGUUCUUUUGUUGAUUUGUGUCUCAUUUUUGUAAUAUUUUGUCUGUUUUUGUGAUUUCUUUUUUUGUCUGACUUUUGUCACAUUUUUGUCAUUUUGUUUCUCAUUUUUGUCGUUUUUUUUCUUUUUGUCUCACUUUUGUUUUUUGUCUUAUUUUUGUCAUAUUGUGUUUUGCUUUAUUUGUCGUUUUGCGUAUCAUUUGUGUCUUUUUGUCUCACUUGCGUUGUUUGUCAUCUAAUUUCUCACUUCUGUCCUUUUUGAUUUCAUUUGUCUAAUUUUUGUCUCUUUUUGUUUUAUGUGACAUCACAUGUCUAAUUUUUUGUCAUUUUGUGUCUCGCUUUUGUAAUAUUUUUCCUUGUUUUUGUUGUUUUCUGUUUUUUGUCGUUUGUCCCUUUUUGUUGCUUUGUAACUUUUUUGUCAAAUUUUUUGUCAUUUUGUGUUUUUUUGUCUGGCUUGUGUUGUUUUGUUUCUUACUUUUAUAUUUUUUGUCUAUUUUUAGUUGUUUGUCCAUUUUUUGUUGUCAUAAUGUUUUGUAAAAAGAUCAUUCCUUAAUAAUAAUAAUAAUAAUAAUUUGUAUUUAGAAUCGUCUUUAAUUCCUUCAAUAUGAACUUUUUUGCACUAAAACAAAGGAAAACCUUGAAGUCGCCAUUAUUUCUAGCUUAUCAUGCUGUGGUUUUACUGGUUUUACUGGUUUUACUGGACAGGAUGUGGAACCUGGACUAAGAUGAGUUGGACUCUCCUGAUCUAAGGGAAUCAGAACCUUAGUAUCUGUGGGGUUUCUCUGUUCACAGGUCUUCCCUUUACUGCUCUAUAAAUAGAACUGAGUUCUAACUGCAGUCAGACUCAGUUUAAAGGGUUAAAUGUUUGAUGGCUGCCUGUGUGUGCUAGUUUAGUUAAAGUGGUGAUCACAGGACUCGUGCAGUAUAAGGAAGGGAUUUGCUUCUUCUCUUUUUGGUAGUUUUACAUUUUUUUUAAAAUGAGCAACAGAUGCUAAAAAAACAACUUGACAGAACUACUCCCAGGAACGAUGUAAAUAUGUUUACGUGAACCAGUUUCAGCAGAUUUCUGUCCAAUUUAAAGAUGCAGAUGUGCUCGUCUUUCAGCUGCUCAUAAGAAAAUGUCAUCUUCUGCUUGUUUAUUUUUUAUAGAAGCUUCUCUUGUCUUGUUCUUUGAUUUGUUUCUUCUUUUGUUAAAAUGUGAACUACUGGCGCCCCCAUGUGUAAAUGUUCAAAUACAAUCCAUCAAUUAAAUAUCUGCGUCCUUAUUAGUGACAAAAAUAAAUAUUAAUAAAUAAUACUGCGAGACUUUUUGUACCAUAGUCGAUAUUUUAGCUGCUUUCAGGCCUAAACCCAACAUGGCCGCCUACAACCAAACACCACACGGCAUUUUAGAGAAAGAUUCUUCUAAAUAUUAGACACACUACUGAGUAAAAGUGUAAUGUAAAGUUAUUUAUAAAGAUGUUGUACUAAACCUGUUGACUACUUUAAAUUAAAUAAGUCAGAAAG